rnacentral:ncRNA from 2 species
UUAAUUUGACUCAAGACGGGAAAACUUACCAAGUCCAGAAAUAGUAAGUAUUUCUUGAUUCUAUGGGUGGUGGUGCAUGGUUGUUCUUAGUUGGUGGAGCGAUUUGUCUGGUUAAUUCCGUUAGCAAAACAAGACCUCAGCCUGCUAACUAGCUAUGCGGAGGUAUCCCUUCGCGACCGCUUCUUUGAGGGAUUAUGGCCUUUUAGGCCGCGGAAAUUUGAAACCAUCCACUAAAUAAUAGGUUUGUUUGAUGCAAUGUUUUAGAAG